GAGGUUGAUUGGCACUGCAUGGCGCAUGCACCCUGCUAGCGAGAUUCGACAGCUCCAGUCGUCUUGUUAGCUAGCUAGCUAGCUUGCCGGUGCGGCCUAGCUCGAUCCCCGGCGCCGCCGGCGCUCGCUGCAUGCGUAUGCCCCAUUCGCGAGCUGGAGGAUGCGAAGAAGAUCUCGAAGUGUUCGGGCUCUCUGCAGUAACCUUCUGAUGCUGAGGAAACGGACCCAUAAGCAUGUAUUUAUAGAUUACCUGAGUGGACCUGAUGUCAGAAAUUCUACCCCAGAUCUGUAGACUGCAAGAUAAGAGAUUUUUUUCACAUAUUAUUCAGAGAUUCUGAGAAUUGGAAUAGUGAAGUUUGACCAAGUUGUGCCUGAAGACCAAAUCCUCGAAGAAGAAAUCAUAAGCCUUUACAGGUUUGGAUAUGAGUGGACCAUUCGAUUUCUUCGGUCAGUUAGAAUUUCUCCCUGACUUCCAAACCCAUAUUGUUGGACUGUUUAUGUUGCAAGACCUGUGAGGUCAUUGGUGAACUCCUUAAGAUUUACAGAAAGGAAAAAUCUUUUAUCUUAAACUCUAUACCAGGAUUUAUGUUACAGUUUAUAA